UUGGGGGAUAGCUCAGUGGUAGAGUGCUUACCUAGCACGCCUGAGGCCCUGGGUUCCAUUCCUAGCACUAAA
rnacentral:tRNA from 1 species